rnacentral:rRNA from 1 species
AUACGUAGGGUGCAAGCGUUAAUCGGAAUUACUGGGCGUAAAGCGUGCGCAGGCGGUUUUGUAAGACAGAGGUGAAAUCCCCGGGCUCAACCUGGGAACUUCCUUUGUGAAUGCAAGGCUAGAGUACGGCAGAGGGGGAGUGAAUUCCGCGUGUAGCAGUGAAAUGCGUAGAUAUGCGGAGGAACACCGAUGGCGAAGGCAAUCCCCUGGGCCUGUACUGACGCUCAUGCACGAAAGCGUGGGGAGCAAACAGGAUUAGAUACCCUGGUAGUCCACGCCCUAAACGAUGUCAACUGGUUGUUGGGUCUUCAUUGACUCAGUAACGAAGCUAACGCGUGAAGUUGACCGCCUGGGGAGUACGGCCGCAAGGUUGAAACUCAAAUGAAUUGACGGGG